AUUACAAUGAGAAAAUCCGUUAGGCACUUUUAUGCAGGUAUGGUAUAAAGUUAAAGAGUAAUAAAAUUUAUUAGUUGUACCUUUUGUAUCAGGGGGCUUUUAAAGUAUAUUAAGGGUAAAGUCGAGUUGGUCAGAUUUUUUUAUUAAAGCGGUAGUGGAAUUUAUAGUUAGAAUAUAGUAAGAGGUGAAAAAUGUACGGUGACCAUGGUAGCUAAUUACUUUAAGGUCCGAGAAGUUAAGCUCUCAGUAGUUUAUGCUAAAAAAUUAGUUAGAAAACUUGGCUUUAGAUUAGCUAUGUUAGUAUAUUGUUAUAAGUAAUCCUUACGAAGUAUAGGGCUAUAAAGUUGCAAGGUAGUAGUAAAAAAUAAUAUUUAUUAUUUAAUAUGAAGCUAUUGAAUGGGGGACGAAAUUAAAAAACAACUUUUAGCAGGUAAGAUAGUUUAGCAAAAACAUUUUUUGCAGGGUUGUAAGUAAAGCCUGCCCAGUGCUAAGUUAACGGCCGCGGUAUUUUGACUGUGCUAAGGUAGCGUAAUCAUUUGUUUUUUAAUUGAGAACUGGAAUGAAGGGUCAAACUUACUUGUUUAGUUUGUAGGUUGAAAAAUAUAUUUAAGUAAAGGUAAGAAUUCCUUUAUCUUCUAGGGGACGAUAAGACCCUAGAAGCUUUAAAAGAAGAUUUUUUGGUUGUUUUAAAAACUUAUUUUUUUUUUACUGGGGCGGUAGUAGUGUUUGAACCAUUUUAGCCAUUAAAGGAUCCUCACUAUGGAGAUAAAUUGGAUAAGUUACUCUAGGGGUAACAGUACAAUAAUUUUGGAGAGUCCUUAUCGAUAAAAUUGGUUGUAACCUCGAUGUU
rnacentral:rRNA from 1 species